UCCCUCGUGGUCCAGUGGUUAAGACUCUGCCCUCCCAAUGCAGGGGGUCCGGGUUCGAUCCUUGGUCAGAGAA
rnacentral:tRNA from 1 species